GAUGAACGCUGGCGGCGUGCCUAAUACAUGCAAGUCGAGCGAACAGACGAGGAGCUUGCUCCUCUGACGUUAGCGGCGGACGGGUGAGUAACACGUGGAUAACCUACCUAUAAGACUGGGAUAACUUCGGGAAACCGGAGCUAAUACCGGAUAAUAUAUUGAACCGCAUGGUUCAAUAGUGAAAGACGGUUUUGCUGUCACUUAUAGAUGGAUCCGCGCCGCAUUAGCUAGUUGGUAAGGUAACGGCUUACCAAGGCGACGAUGCGUAGCCGACCUGAGAGGGUGAUCGGCCACCCUGGAACUGAGACACGGUCCAGGGUCCUACGGGAGGCAGCAGUAGGGAAUCUUCCUCAAUGGGCGAAAGCCUGACGGAGCAACGCCGCGUGAGUGAUGAAGGUCUUCGGAUCGUAAAACUCUGUUAUUAGGGAAGAACAAAUGUGUAAGUAACUAUGCACGUCUUGACGGUACCUAAUCAGAAAGCCACGGCUAACUACGUG
rnacentral:rRNA from 1 species